AUCAUUUUUGGAUACCCCAAUGAACCAGCUGGUUCAGAUUUCUUAUGUUGGUGCGAAAGAGUACAAAUUUAAAAAGAUUUGAACUCAACAAAUUUGACAACGGUUGAGCGAAGCACAAUGAUUGUCAUCAAUGGAUCUGUAUAUCAUUGCGACAGACAUAUUAUCAACAAGGCUUUCCCAAGCGAGACGAUUCCAUGUAGGGUGAUCAAAUGCAUUGUCAAAGGAGAUUCUGUGAUGUCCAUUUCCCAGGAGGAGGAGGAGGAAGAGGAAACAGAGAGCAAUUGAAAACACAUCAAAC